rnacentral:sRNA from 1 species
GUAAUCUUAGCAUAGGUAGAUAGAAACGGGAUCGUUCAAAUGAGCAAACUUGAAUUAAAAAACACCAUAGUUGGCAGCACUGACUGGACUGUGAAGAUAAAGAAGAGCAGACGAUGGAAUGAGAAAAGCGGGAGUGACUUCCCCAGUGAGUCAUUUCUGACUGGAACUUUUUAUGUUGUUUUAAGAAUGAGUGAAAACUAGAAUCUAGUAACAUGUUGACCACAGACAACGAGACAAAUAUUGUAGCGUUGAAUGUGAACUACAAUAUUUGACAUUUGCUUUUGCUUGCAAUAGUCAGGUUUUGGAAAAGAACUCCGUGGACAUGCCCGUGUUCUUCUACAUUGACCCGGAGUUUGCUGAAGACCCAAAGCUGGAGCAUGUUGAGAGCAUCAUGCUGUCUUAUACAUUUUUUGAGGCCAAGGAAGGCUUGGCACUCCCACUGCCAGGUUACCAUCAGCCACACAUGACGGCGGCGCCUGCUACAGUCGCAACACCUUGACGUUUUUAGUACCCAGCCCCCCCUCCCCCCAAGUUGGAUGUCAGUGUGAUUGGUUAACUUAAACUGCCUAUUAAAUUUGUAUUUUGAAUCUUAAA